CCUACGGGAGGCAGCAGUGGGGAAUUUUGGACAAUGGGCGAAAGCCUGACCCAGCAAUGCCGCGUGUGGGAAGAAGGCCUUCGGGUUGUAAACCACUUUUGUACGGAACGAAACGGUUCGCUUUAAUACAGUGGGCUAAUGACGGUACCGUAAGAAUAAGCACCGGCUAACUACGUGCCAGCAGCCGCGGUAAUACGUAGGGUGCGAGCGUUAAUCGGAAUUACUGGGCGUAAAGCGUGCGCAGGCGGUUAUAUAAGACAGUUGUGAAAUCCCCGGGCUCAACCUGGGAAUUGCAUCUGUGACUGUAUAGCUAGAGUACGGUAGAGGGGGAUGGAAUUCCGCGUGUAGCAGUGAAAUGCGUAGAUAUGCGGAGGAACACCGAUGGCGAAGGCAAUCCCCUGGACCUGUACUGACGCUCAUGCACGAAAGCGUGGGGAGCAAACAGGAUUAGAUACCCUGGUAGUCCACGCCCUAAACCGAUGUCAACUGGUUGUUGGGUGCAUUAGUACUCAGUAACGAAGCUAACGCGUGAAGUUGACCGCCUGGGGAGUACGGCCGCAAGGUUGAACUCAAGGAAUUGACGGCUGAGAGNGCGAGACGACGACGAGGGAGAGG
rnacentral:rRNA from 1 species